UCAGCCACGGAGUGAAGAGCAGGCAGCAUCUGCUAAGGAAUUCACAUGAGUCUGGAGGAGGCAGGAACUCCUUCCCUUGUUAUUUUUGGCACUGCUCUGGCUGGGAUCCAGUAUGGGGCCCUUCAGAUCCUAGAGUACAGAGAGAAGCCAGAAGGGGAGAAUUUCAUCUACAAUGUUUUCCUUUUUAUCAGUUUGAAGACUUUCCUUAUGUGGCCAAAAAGCAGCCUAAGAACUCUGAGCGCUGUGAAGGGCAGGACAGGAUGGCAGAGCGGAGGAUGCUGAAGGUUACAAUGAAUAUCAACGGCAGCCUUGAAGAGAGAAAGGGCAUCCUGAGGAUGGGAGAAGGAGUUGUGCUCAGAGAUUUGCUGUGCUGGUGAGGCUGGGGUUGAUGUGAUCACUUUGGGCUGAUGGUGUCCAUCAAUCCCCAAGCUUCUUUUGUCCUAGAUUACAGAAGCUUCUCCUUUUCAUCAGCAGCCACCUGGAGUAACUGUGCAAUGUCUGAAGUAUGACUCUCCCAUCUCUCUUCUCCUCUGUAAGGCAUGGCACUUGGAGUGACCACUCUGAGAACAGUGCUUCUUCUCCUUUAACAUUUGAAUAAUAAAAGGCUGUCCAAUGAGG
rnacentral:lncRNA from 1 species